CCCUUGCWUAGUGGACUUCUAUUUUCUUUUAAUUUCUUCUGAUAAGUGACUGACUAUUUCUCAUCAUCCUUUGACUGGUGGCUCGACCGGAAAUUGGCCGCCAUUCAAGAUAGGGCUGUCAACGGGUGGGAUCCGGGUCCGGUCUUGGUAGAAGCGCUCCCGAGUAGAUCAUUCAGUGGGACAAAACGUUAGACCCAAAACCGUCAAUUUUAACUUAAAAUUUAGGUUGAAACAAAAACAUAGCUUUAAAACCGAACCAUUUGAGAUAAAAAACACCACUUUUCUUAUUUAAAUCGCAAACUAAAGUUUAAACUUUAAUCAUAUAUCGUUAAUUAAAUUGAUAGAAAAAUACUAAGUUACUUAUAUGUUAAAACGUCAGACCCCUUUAUUUAUCUAUCUAUCUAUUAGACUCGACACUUUAAACCUAUGAUAAGAGAGAAACUGUAAGAAAACGAAGGAAAUGAUAUAUAUGGUUAACAAAGUAAUCGGUAUUGGGCAUGAAUCGAUUUGGGUGGUGCGAGUACCGGAACCGACCCAAUUAUUUAUUUCAACAGAAUCAUGGAACCCGAUCCUUUAUAAAUGGGUGGGUCAAUUCGGUCCAUCCGGAUAGACCUGAACCGUUGACAGUCCCUUCAAGAACAUGAACGAUGAUAGCGAUUGUGUUGCAGCAAGGUUGGUAUCCUUUUUCCUUCUCCUUUCUGUCCUGUAAUUAGAGGUAAGGACCUUUAAAAACCGCUCUCGAUGUUCGUACCUUUGUUAUUGAGGCAUAAGAUUUCGUCCUGCGAAGUUGGUUUUGGUUUUUCACGAAUUWAUAAAUUCUGCUAAUGCAAUUUCUGCCUUGUCAUUGCAGGAACGUUCUAAUGGUUUCGGAUUGUCAACUGCCGUAUCAGAAUGAAUGCCAUAGGGCAUCGCCACUUCCAUGAGAUUGCGUCAAUGGAGCAGAUUCAAAAGUUCGAAUUGGAGAAGUAGUCCGCUGAGGCCUUGCAUACGCUGGAGUGAAGGGCGUGAGCGCAAAGGAGACUCGGAAGCGAUACGGAUGCGGAAGCUGUAUAGGCACGGAGAAUGCUCGACUUGCAGGCAAGCUCUGCAAAGCUCUCACGGCUUUACUAUGAGGUAGCUGGUCCAAUCUUCCGU